UGGGGAAUAUUGCACAAUGGGGGAAACCCUGAUGCAGCAACGCCGCGUGAGUGAAGAAGUAUUUCGGUAUGUAAAGCUCUAUCAGCAGGGAAGAAAAUGACGGUACCUGACUAAGAAGCCCCGGCUAACUACGUGCCAGCAGCCGCGGUAAUACGUAGGGGGCAAGCGUUAUCCGGAUUUACUGGGUGUAAAGGGAGCGUAGACGGUUGUGCAAGUCAGAAGUGAAAGCCCGGGGCUCAACCCCGGGACUGCUUUUGAAACUGUAUGACUGGAGUGCUGGAGAGGUAAGUGGAAUUCCUAGUGUAGCGGUGAAAUGCGUAGAUAUUAGGAGGAACACCAGUGGCGAAGGCGGCUUACUGGACAGUAACUGACGUUGAGGCUCGAAAGCGUGGGGAGCAAACAGGAUUAGAUACCCUGGUAGU
rnacentral:rRNA from 1 species